rnacentral:rRNA from 1 species
AUUGAACGCUGGCGGCAGGCCUAACACAUGCAAGUCGAGCGGGGUUUUCGGACCUAGCGGCGGACGGGUGAGUAAUGCGUAGGAAGCUACCCGAUAGAGGGGGAUACCAGUUGGAAACGACUGUUAAUACCGCAUAAUGUCUACGGACCAAAGUGUGGGACCUUCGGGCCACAUGCUAUCGGAUGCGCCUACGUGGGAUUAGCUAGUUGGUGGGGUAAUGGCUCACCAAGGCGACGAUCCCUAGCUGGUUUGAGAGGAUGAUCAGCCACACUGGAACUGAGACACGGUCCAGACUCCUACGGGAGGCAGCAGUGGGGAAUAUUGGACAAUGGGCGCAAGCCUGAUCCAACCAUGCCGCGUGUGUGAAGAAGGCCUUCGGGUUGUAAAGCACUUUCAGUGGGGAGGAAGGGUGUUGUGUUAAUAGCGCAGCAUUUUGACGUUACCUACAGAAGAAGCACCGGCUAACUCUGUGCCAGCCGCCGCAGUAACAC